rnacentral:lncRNA from 1 species
GAAUGCGAUCCAGGAUGCACUGGCGAGGGACGCAGCAAGGGAGGGAGCAGGAGAGACAGGACGGAGGGGUCUGGGAUGGGGGCUGGGCAGUGCAGUCCCUGGCAGGCCUCACCCAGCUGCCCAGCCCCUUACCUUCUUCUUCUCACUAGAGGAGGGCUCGCUCCCUGAGCAGCGGCCUGACUCCACCCCGCCGGCCCCCUUCACCCGGGUGGAGGAUUUGGCCAGGCUGCUCUCUACCAGUUCAUCAUCGAAUUUCUUCCUUUUGAUGAACCUGUGGAAGGUCCUGCAGGGUUAACUACUGGUACCACACCCACGCACGGCUUCCAAGGUGCAGGCUCCCCUUGGGAACUAACUGCCUUCACUUUCCAGCAGUGUCUGGCUCAGUGGACAUGGAAAAGCCAAGUUCUAGUCCUCUGAGGUAACAGGCAACCUUUCAACAGAGAUGGAACCCCUCACUCUCCAUCCUCGGUGCCAUCCGGACACACCGGCAGAGGAGGUUUUUGGCCGCUUGACCCAAGGUAGAGUUAUUUGGGGAGAAGCUCAACUGAGAAAGUGCCUCCAUCAGAGUGGCCUUGGGCAGUUUCUGCCUCCAGGUUCCUGCUUUGAGUUCCUGCCCGACUUCCCCUGAGGAUGGACCUGCGAUCCAAAUAAAUAAAUAAAUUAUCCACCCCAA